rnacentral:tRNA from 1 species
GCGCGCGUAGCUCAGCUGGAUAGAGCGACGGCCUCCGGAGCCGUAGGUCACAGGUUCGAAUCCUGUCGCGCGUACCA